rnacentral:rRNA from 1 species
GCGUGAGUGAAGAAGGCCUUAGGGUUGUAAAGCUCUUUCAGCGGGGAAGAUAAUGACGGUACCCGCAGAAGAAGCCCCGGCUAACUCCGUGCCAGCAGCCGCGGUAAUACGGAGGGGGCUAGCGUUGUUCGGAAUUACUGGGCGUAAAGCGCACGUAGGCGGUUUAUCAAGUUGGGCGUGAAAGCCCGGGGCUCAACCCCGGAACUGCGCUCAAAACUGGUAGGCUAGAGACCGGGAGAGGUAAGCGGAAUUCCCAGUGUAGAGGUGAAAUUCGU